rnacentral:ncRNA from 1 species
CAAAAAGGCAAACCGGAUGAAAGUCCGGGACGCAAAGCUUCCGGUCUAAGGGUCUGUGUACCUAGGAUAGCGGGGCCACCA